UACGGGGGGGAGCAAGCGUUGUUCGGAUUUACUGGGCGUAAAGGGCGCGUAGGCGGCCUGACAAGUGGAUGGUGAAAUCCCUCGGCUUAACCGAGGAACUGCCAUCCAGACUGUUUGGCUUGAGACCGGGAGAGGUGAGUGGAAUUCCCAGUGUAGCGGUGAAAUGCGUAGAUAUUGGGAGGAACACCAGUGGCGAAGGCGGCUCACUGGACCGGUACUGACGCUGAUGCGCGAAAGCGUGGGGAGCAAACGGG
rnacentral:rRNA from 1 species